UCCCGUUUUAGUAACAACAAUUCCCAAAUAGUUAUAUUGUUUUAUCAUCUCAAUGUUAGUAUCAUUGUAAGAAAAUCGGAGAUUUUUUGGCUUCCGUCCAAAAAAAACCCUCACUAAGACUUUAAUUUUGACAACUUUCCUUUCAAGUUCCAAGCCUUACAAUAAUCAUGGAAAGCAUUGAGUUGAGUCUGCAGGUCCUGUGCUGUUUCAGCCAACAACACCGUGUCAUCUGC
rnacentral:lncRNA from 1 species